AUCUGUUUGCCCAUUUGUUUCUGUUGCUACAGUCACACCGCACACACAGAGCCUUAUUUUUCACUUGAACAAAUGCUGCCUGGCCGGGUCCCAAAGUGAGCAAGCAGCAACCUCAUGACUUCAUCACACAACAGGACAGUCUCUCCUGAGGAAGAAAUCCACUUCUUUCUCUUGGUGGUUUUCUGAUUCCACACUUUUCUGUUGUUCCUAAAGAUAAAACAUCAGAUAUCACACGGUUUGUGGAUUUGAAUGCAUCCUUUUAGGAAUACUUCCCUGUGAAAGGGACACACUCUGGCAGGCAUUCAGUCCUAACAAAUGGCAGGUACUUUUCCCCUUUGGACAAUAUGCCCAGCUCUGAGAGCCAUGGGUCAUGUUACCAGGUGACAUCCACAGCAGCAACUUCCCUGUGGCCUGUUCUCUGAGGGACCACUGUGUGAAAUAAAGGCUGCCAGGCCACAUGAGAAGGGGUAAAAACAUGCCCUCUUUGUUUGUUUUCUUGUUUUGUUUCUUGGUUGAUUCACAGAAGUGGUGAUGACCAAAUGUACCAGAGAGCUGCUAUGGCACAUGUUCUCGUGAAUGUGAAUAAGAAAUAAAGCAAUA